CAAUAGCGUAUAUUAAAGUUGUUGCAGUUAAAAAGCUCGUAGUUGGAUUUCUGAUCGAGACAUCAGGUCGGGUCCGAGAGGAUCAUGUACUUUGAUUUUGUUUUGAUCAUCCUUGGGGAGAGCAUUUCUGGCAUUCAGUUGUCGGGAUUGGGAUCCUCAUCGUUUACUGUGAAAAAAUUAGAGUGUUCAAAGCAGGCCUCGGCCUCUGAAUACAUUAGCAUGGAAUAAUAAGAUAGGACUUUGGUGGUCUAUUUUGUUGGUUUGCACGCCAAAGUAAUGAUUAAUAGGGAUAGUUGGAGGUAUUCGUAUUCAAUUGUCAGAGGUGAAAUUCUUGGAUUUAUGGAAGACGAACUACUGCGAAAGCAUUUACCAAGGAUGUUUUCAUUAA
rnacentral:rRNA from 1 species